AGCGUAGGCUGCGCGGUAAGUCAGAUGUGAAAUCCCGGGGCUCAACCCCGGAACUGCAUCCGAUACUGCCGUGCUUGAGGAUUGGAGAGGUAGCUGGAAUUCUUGGUUGUAGCAGUGAAAUGCGUGGAGAUCAAGAGGAACACUCGUGGCGAAAGCGAGCUACUGGACAAUAUCUGACGCUGAGGCUCGAAGGCCAGGGUAGCGAAAG
rnacentral:rRNA from 1 species